GCCUUCGCAGAUCAGUGGUGAUCGUCCCGCUAAUCUGCAUUUACAAACAUUGCGAUCACGGGAAGGUGAGGGUUCGACUCCCGCCGAAGGCA